GAAGGCCACCGUCGGGAUCGC
rnacentral:miRNA from 2 species